AGAAUCAAGAUCCCAAAAGGUUAAGGAGCAUCUGGCCUGGAAGGGAAGAAAACAGCCCUGGCUUCAAAAGACAGCCAUCCAGAAGACUGUAACCCUGCCUGGAGCCCAGUGAAUUGCUAGUCACUACAUCAGACCAGUGGCCUCCUCCAACAUAGGCGGCUAAGAGAAAUCACCUGCAUUUGGUACCCUCUCCUAAAUGGCUCGUCAAGCACAGUGAAUGACAAGAUUGGAGAGAGGAGGUGGGAAACCUAUCCCCGGAUGGCACAGCUGAGACAGAGGUUUGCCUUAAAAAUGCAGUUUACAAUUAAUCAGCAAAACUAAAAAGCAACUGACAGAACAAGAGAAGAUAUUUGCAAAUGACUUAUCAGAUAAAGGGUUAGUAUCCAAAAUCUAUAAAG